rnacentral:rRNA from 1 species
AUUGAACGCUGGCGGCAGGCUUAACACAUGCAAGUCGAGCGUGAAAGGGCUUCGGCCUGAGUAAAGCGGCGGACGGGUGAGUAACGCGUAGGAAUCUACCUGGUAGUGGGGGAUAACGUUCCGAAAGGAACGCUAAUACCGCAUACGUUCUGAGGAAGAAAGCAGGGGACCGCAAGGCCUUGCGCUAUCAGAUGAGCCUGCGUCCGAUUAGCUAGUUGGUGGGGUAAAGGCCUACCAAGGCGACGAUCGGUAACUGGUCUGAGAGGAUGAUCAGUCACACUGGAACGGAGACACGGUCCAGACUCCUAAGGGAGGCAGCAGUGGGGAAUAUUGGACAAUGGGGGCAACCCUGAUCCAGCCAUGCCGCGUGUGUGAAGAAGGCCUUCGGGUUGUAAAGCACUUUAAGCUGGGAGGAAGGCUCCAUGGCUAAUAUCUAUGGGGAUUGACGUUACCAGCAGAAUAAGCACCGGCAAACUUCGUGCCAGCAGCCGCCGUAA